rnacentral:lncRNA from 1 species
ACUCACAAUAGAGGGACUGUAUUAUACAUUAACUACACCUAGAGAUUCUAUUGAUUCUGCUGGAUUGCCACUACAUAUUGCUAGAUGUCACUGUUGGAUUGUGAGAGCUCAAUAGGAUCGUUCUGGAUCAAUGAUCCUUGCCGAGUUAGAGUGAAACUAUUUCGACCCACUGAAAGGGAUUUCAGUGAUACCUAUGAUAGAGAUUAUGGUAUGUCUCACUAUCAGACAAAAUUGAACCUAUGGGGUCAUACAUUAAAGAGAGA